rnacentral:rRNA from 1 species
GCACAAGCAGCGGAGCGUGUGGUUUAAUUCGAUGCUACACGAAGAACCUUACCUGGGUUUGACAUAGAGGUAGUAGGGAAGCGAAAGCGGACCGACCCUUCGGGGAGCCUCUACAGGUGUUGCAUGGCUGUCGUCAGCUCGUGUCGUGAGAUGUUCGGUUAAGUCCGCUAACGAGCGCAACCCUCGCUGUGUGUUACAAGUGUCACACGGUACUGCCGAUAUUAAGUCGGAGGAAGGUGGGGAUGACGUCAAGUCAGCAUGACCUUUAUAUCCAGGGCUACACACACGCUACAAUGGCCAGUACAAUGGGUUGCCAAGCCGCGAGGCGGAGCCAAUCCUAAAAAGCUGGCCUCAGUUCAGAUUGCAGUCUGCAACUCGACUGCAUGAAGUUGGAGUUGCUAGUAACCGCAGGUCAGCAAUACUGCGGUGAAUACGUUCCCGGGGAUU